UACAAUUUAAAGUUGUUUCUCAGUCUCAGUACAUUUGGCUAAUGGUUACCAUCUUGUGGGCUAUGCAAAUACAGAACAUUUCCAUCCUCAGAAAACUUGGUCACCACAGAGAAUCACGGUCUCGGCUGUAGAUUUACAGUGUGUUGGAAACGUGAAGCUCAUUCACUCCUGUACGGCUAUGGAAUAGAUGAGGCUUGUGCAUCAUUAGAAAGAAUACUGCUCAAUAAAAUGAACUGAUACAUGCUCCCACAUGGAAGAAGUGGACCCCAAAGUGUUUACAUCGUAUGGUUCCAUUAUAUGAAAUCGAAGAACAGACAAAACUAAUCUAUGGUGAUAGAAAUCAGAAGUGGCUGCAGGGAAGUAAUCAGAAAAAGGAAUAAGAAACUUUCUUGGGUGAUGCGUUCUACUUCCUAAAGUAGUUGAUAAACUGUCAAAAGUAACUGAACUGAACACCUAAGACCCAUUUAUCUCUUACUUGCUAAUUAUUUUAAAUGUUUUGAUCAUGUAGAAGGGAUGUUGAGUUGUGCACACAACUUACCAGUCUCCAAAAGUGCUUGCAUGUGCUUGGCAACAGGAACAGUGUGGGCACACUAGUAGACCUUGGUGAGAAGAUCUGAACUAAAGCUUGGCCAUAAACAGUAUAAACUAAGGAGAUAUUCAUUUCAAGUCUUUAAAAAAGCUAAAUUCAUUCCUAAGGGCUUUGUCAUAAUGCUCCUAUUCUAUUGUUGGAUAGCCCUACUACACAAAAAGGCAACCUGCCAGUUUUUUGAUGUUUUAAGUCUAAAUGUCUGAAACUAGAUGUCCAUCUCAAAUGCAGAAAAUAGAAAGUUAACAGACAACAAAGAUUACUAAAUUGGGCUUACCCGUAAAUUUAGGAUGAUCCAAGGACCAAAUAAGCUGAUAUGCAGAAUGUACAUAUGUGAAAUAGUGCAUUAUUUUGAAAAGGUCCUCAGCCUCCAACAAGUUCUCCAAGAUUUUAGAACUGGAAUCCUAAACUAAAACUGACAACCCUUGGUUCAGUUCAUAAAAUUUCAUGAAUAUACAUACACAUAUAAAUAUAUGCAUAAAUUAUACAUCAUUCUUCAUCUUUUUCAACUCCUGAUUCUGCCAAGGAAGAACAAGGGGCAGAAGGUUUGACUUGCUUUAUUGAAAUCAUACUGUUUUAAUAAACCCAGAAUAAUGUCUGGCUUUUUUCAUUGUUAGUUUCCUUUUUCUACAAUGUUCUCAUAAACCAGGG
rnacentral:lncRNA from 1 species